CGAGGUGGGCCGGCACGUUUACUUUGAACAAAUUAGAGUGCUUAAAGCAGGCUAAAAUAUUGCCUGAAUACUGUGUGCAUGGAAUAAUGGAAUAGGACCUCGGUUCUAUUUUGUUGGUUUUCGGAACCCCGAGGUAAUGAUUAAUAGGAACGGAUGGGGGCAUUCGUAUUGCGACGUUAGAGGUGAAAUUCUUGGAUCGUCGCAAGACGGACAGAAGCGAAAGCAUUUGCCAAAAACGUUUUCAUUGAUCAAGAACGAAAGUUAGAGGUUCGAAGGCGAUCAGAUACCGCCCUAGUUCUAACCAUAAACGAUGCCAGCUAGCGAUCCGCCGACGUUCCUCCGAUGACUCGGCGGGCAGCUUCCGGGAAACCAAAGCUUUUGGGAUCCGGGGGAAGUAUGGUUGCAAAGCUGAAACUUAAAGGAAUUGACGGAAGGGCACCACCAGGAGUGGAGCCUGCGGCUUAAUUUGACUCAACACGGGAAACCUCACCAGGCCCGGACACCGGAAGGAUUGACAGAUUGAGAG
rnacentral:rRNA from 1 species